UACGAAGGGGGCUAGCGUUGUUCGGAAUUACUGGGCGUAAAGCGUGCGCAGGCGGCUUCUCAAGUCAGGGGUGAAAGCCCAGAGCUCAACUCUGGAAUUGCCUUUGAGACUGAGUGGCUUGAGUACGGGAGAGGUGAGUGGAAUUCCCAGUGUAGAGGUGAAAUUCGUAGAUAUUGGGAAGAACACCGGUGGCGAAGGCGGCUCACUGGCCCGUAACUGACGCUGAGGUGCGAAAGCGUGGGGAGCAAACAGG
rnacentral:rRNA from 1 species